rnacentral:lncRNA from 1 species
UCAUUUUAUUUUGUGAUUAAAUUUUCAGAGGUGUAGCUCAGGGAGCAGAAAGCCUUAAAUAAUAGCAAGCAAGGACGUGUACUCAGAUGAGAUUGUCCAGGGGAGGAAGAAUAGGACAGAGUUGGAAAACCUGGAAAACCAUCAUUCAUUUAUGAAGCUGAAUGAUUCUCAAGCACAUUAGUAAAUGGACAAUUUCUAUGUUAUUUUAAGAUCUUUUUGUAUUGCAGGUCUGCACCAUCAUGUCUACAGGAGUUUCAAGGGCAUUGAAAGGGCAAUUGAGGGCCCAGUUUUUUAAUGUCACAAAUGACCUUGCAGUUUUGCAAUGAAAGAAUGUCUUCAGGUGCAAGACUUGAUAUAUUUUGUGAAUGGUUGCAUGACAGCCUGUGAACUACUCUUCAACACUGCAUUUCAGAAAACAAUGGACUGGCUUUAUGUCCGCCAGUGCUACCCCAGUAUGUUGCUUUCAAAAGCUACAAAUGUUUAUAAAUACUUAAUAAAUUCUGAAAAUUCAUGUGACCAGCACUAGGGUGUCAUACUGGCUCUGUGCUAUAGAAACAGAAUGGAAAGUCAAGCACACAAACAGGAAUCAUGAGAGCAUGCCAUGAGCAAAGAACCAGUCCAUAUGAAGGACUGGGGGAAGAGCACAAUGUGGAAUACUUGUAAUGUUGGUUGGUAGCAAAUCCUCUUGAAUAGCGUUCACUUUUUUCCAUUUAUAAGCUAGUGUUAAAUGUUUUUUGUGGGAUAGAAGUGAAUCUUAGAUGGCUCAUGAACAGUCUUCUCAGUAUAUAACAAAAUACUA